UAAAUUGAGAGUUUGAUCCUGGCUCAGGACGAACGCUGGCGGCGUGCCUAACACAUGCAAGUCGAGCGGGAGACUUCGGUCUCUAGCGGCGGACGGGUGAGUAACACGUGGGUAACCUGCCUUAGUGAGGGGGAUAGCCUCCCGAAAGGGAGAUUAAUACCGCAUAACAUUGUGAUAUCGCAUGAUAUUGUAAUUAAAGGAGUAAUCCGCACUAAGAUGGACCCGCGGCGCAUUAGCUAGUUGGUGAGGUAACGGCUCACCAAGGCGACGAUGCGUAGCCGGCCUGAGAG
rnacentral:rRNA from 1 species